AGAGUUUGAUCCUGGCUCAGAGCGAACGUUAGCGGCGGGCCUAACACAUGCAAGUCGAGCGAGAAAGGGACUUCGGUCCUGAGUAAAGCGGCGGACGGGUGAGAAAUACGUAGGUAACCUGCCUUUCAGUGGGGGACAACGGUCCGAAAGGACCGCUAAUACCGCAUACGUUAUCCGGGACUCUGGUCCUGGAUAGGAAAGCCGGGGCAACCUGGCGCUGGAAGAGGGGCCUACGUCGCAUCAGCUAGUUGGUGGGGUAAUGGCCCACCAAGGCUAAGACGCGUAGCUGGUCUGAGAGGAUGAUCAGCCACACUGGGACUGAGACACGGCCCAGACUCCUACGGGAGGCAGCAGUGGGGAAUAUUGGACAAUGGGCGCAAGCCUGAUCCAGCCACGCCGCGUGAGUGAUGAAGGCCUUCGGGUCGUAAAGCUCUGUGGGGAGAGACGAACCGCCGCUGGCUAAUAUCCAGCGGCAUGACGGUACCUCCUUAGCAAGCACCGGCUAACUUCGUGCCAGCAGCCGCGGUAAUACGAAGGGUGCAAACGUUGCUCGGAAUCAUUGGGCGUAAAGCGCACGUAUGCGGCUUCGCAAGUCGGAUGUGAAAUCCCGUGGCUCAACCAUGGACGUGCAUCCGAAACUGCGAGGCUUGAGUAU
rnacentral:rRNA from 1 species